rnacentral:rRNA from 1 species
AGAGUUUGAUCCUGGCUCAGGAUGAACGCUGGCGGCGUGCUUAACACAUGCAAGUCGAACGAACCUUCGGGUUAGUGGCGGACGGGUGAGUAACGCGUGAGAAUCUGCCCUCAGGAGGGGGAUAACGGCUGGAAACGGCCGCUAAUACCCCAUAUGCCGAGAGGUGAAAUGAAUUUCGCCUGAGGAUGAGCUCGCGUCUGAUUAGCUAGUUGGUGGGGUAAGAGCCUACCAAGGCUUCGAUCAGUAGCUGGUCUGAGAGGAUGAUCAGCCACACUGGGACUGAGACACGGCCCAGACUCCUACGGGAGGCAGCAGUGGGGAAUUUUCCGCAAUGGGCGAAAGCCUGACGGAGCAACGCCGCGUGAGGGAUGAAGGCCUCUGGGCUGUAAACCUCUUUUCUCAAGGAAGAAGAUCUGACGGUACUUGAGGAAUAAGCCACGGCUAAUUCCGUGCCAGCAGCCGCGGUAAUACGGGAGUGGCAAGCGUUAUCCGGAAUUAUUGGGCGUAAAGCGUCCGCAGGCGGCCUUGAAAGUCUGCUGUUAAAGCGUGGAGCUUAACUCCAUUUCAGCAGUGGAAACUACAAGGCUAGAGUGUGGUAGGGGCAGAGGGAAUUCCCGGUGUAGCGGUGAAAUGCGUAGAUAUCGGGAAGAACACCAGUGGCGAAGGCGCUCUGCUGGGCCAUAACUGACGCUCAUGGACGAAAGCCAGGGGAGCGAAAGGGAUUAGAUACCCCUGUAGUCCCGGCCGUAAACGAUGAACACUAGGUGUCGGGGGAAUCGACCCCUCCGGUGUCGUAGCCAACGCGUUAAGUGUUCCGCCUGGGGAGUACGCACGCAAGUGUGAAACUCAAAGGAAUUGACGGGGGCCCGCACAAGCGGUGGAGUAUGUGGUUUAAUUCGAUGCAACGCGAAGAACCUUACCAGGGUUUGACAUCCUGCGAAUCCCUUGGAAACGAGGGAGUGCCUUCGGGAGCGCAGUGACAGGUGGUGCAUGGCUGUCGUCAGCUCGUGUCGUGAGAUGUUGGGUUAAGUCCCGCAACGAGCGCAACCCACGUCUUUAGUUGCCAGCAUUCAGUUGGGCACUCUAGAGAGACCGCCGGUGAUAAACCGGAGGAAGGUGUGGAUGACGUCAAGUCAUCAUGCCCCUUACAUCCUGGGCUACACACGUACUACAAUGCUACGGACAAAGGGCAGCAAACUCGCGAGAGCUAGCAAAUCCCAAAAACCGUGGCUCAGUUCAGAUCGUAGGCUGCAACUCGCCUACGUGAAGGAGGAAUCGCUAGUAAUCGCAGGUCAGCAUACUGCGGUGAAUACGUUCCCGGGCCUUGUACACACCGCCCGUCACACCAUGGAAGUUGGCCACGCCCGAAGUCGUUACUCCAACCCGCAAGGGAGGAGGAUGCCGAAGGUGGGGCUGAUGACU